UCCUGGCUCAGAACGAACGCUGGCGGCGUGGAUAAGACAUGCAAGUCGAACGGGACAAUAUUUGUAGCAAUACAGAUGUUGUUUAGUGGCGAACGGGUGCGUAACACGUGGGGAAUCUGCCGAGAAGUGGGGGAUAGCUCGCCGAAAGGCGAAUUAAUACCGCAUAUGAUCAGGGAAGACAUCUUUCCGACAUCAAAGCCGGGGCAACCUGGCGCUUCUUGAUGACCCCGCGGCCUAUCAGCUAGUUGGUGAGGUAACGGCCCACCAAGGCGAUGACGGGUAGCUGGUCUGAGAGGACGACCAGUCACACUGGAACUGAGACACGGUCCAGACACCUACGGGUGGCAGCAGUCGAGAAUUUUUCUCAAUGGGGGCAACCCUGAAGGAGCGACGCCGCGUGGAGGAUGAAGGCUUUCGGGUUGUAAACUCCUGUCAUUUGAGAACAAUGGCUACGCGUUAACUGCGCGGAGCUUGAUAGUAUCAGAAGAGGAAGGGACGGCUAACUCUGUGCCAGCAGCCGCGGUAAUACAGAGGUCCCGAGCGUUGUUCGGAUUCAUUGGGCGUAAAGGGUGCGUAGGUGGCGCCGUAAGUGGGGUGUGAAAUCCCGGGGCUUAACUCCGGAACUGCAUUCCAUACUGCGGUGCUUGAGGACUGGAGAGGAG
rnacentral:rRNA from 1 species